ACGGGAGGCAGCAGUGAGGAAUAUUGGUCAAUGGAGGCAACUCUGAACCAGCCAUCUCGCGUGAAGGAAUACGGCCCUAUGGGUCUUAAACUUCUUUUAUAGGGGGAUAAAGUGAGAUACGCGUAUCUUUUUGUAGGUACCCUAUGAAUAAGCAUCGGCUAACUCCGUGCCAGCAGCCGCGGUAAUACGGAGGAUGCGAGCGUUAUCCGGAUUUAUUGGGUUUAAAGGGUGCGUAGGCUGUGUGUCAAGUCAGUGGUGAAAGGCAGGGGCUCAACCCCGGCACUGCCGUUGAAACUGGCGAGCUCGAGUACGGAUGAAGUCGGCGGAAUGUGAUGUGUAGCGGUGAAAUGCUUAGAUAUGUCACAGAACACCGAUUGCGAAGGCAGCUGACUAAUCCGCAACUGACGCUCAGGCACGAAAGCGUGGGGAUCGAACAGGAUUAGAUACCCUGGUA
rnacentral:rRNA from 1 species